rnacentral:rRNA from 1 species
GGUGAACGCUGGCGGCGUGGAUGAGGCAUGCAAGUCGAAUGGGUUUAGACCCAUGGCAGACGAGGUAGGAACACGUGGGUACAUACCGUAGAGUCGGGGAUAAUCUGUCGAAAGGCAGGAUAAUACUCGAUAGUCCCGAAAGGGUAAAGAUUUAUCGCUCUAUGAAUGGCCCGCGUUCUAUCAGCUUGAUGGUAAGGUAACGGCUUACCAUGGCUACGACGGAUAGGGGAGGUGAGAGCCUGACCCCCACCGAUGGAACUGAGACACGGUCCAU